AAACUCAUUGAAAGUGAAGCAGCUCCAAGCGAUGAGGCUUCUGAGCAAAGUGAUCGUCGGAACCACCUGCGUGACGAUCUUCUGUGGUAGCGCCUACGUGGCUGCAAUCACUCUUGCUCCACCCCCAAAUUACACAGUAAGCAACAAUGACCGGCUGAAAAGUUACGACAAGCUGUCCAUCGACAAUCUGUACGAGAAAAAGACGAAGUGUCAAGAGUUUUACCUGGGCCUCAGUCGGUGGCGGCGGAAGAUGUUACGGGACGAAGGCCUGCUUCGCGGGCGGGUGCUGGAGGUUGGUGCCGGGUGCAUGGGAAACUACGCGUACUACCCCCACAAGUACUUCAGUGACGAUUCGGAGGUCCAGCGACACUUGAGGGGCAUUCUGGGCCGCAGAGACGAUACCCAGGCAGCAGGCAGCGGCGACAACUCCACUAGCUACAUGCUGCAGCAUAUUGAGAAGGAAAACCCGUGCGACGAGAUCGUGCUGUGCGAUCGGUCAGCCGGCAUGGUUCAGUCGUGCAUCGCAAAGAUACAGAGUCGGCUGGGCUACACUCCGUAUCGGUACCCCGACUACGACCUUGCUGGGAUUCGAAAUUCGAUUGAGGCGCGUGUCCGCGCUCAGCACGACGCACAAAGACUGGGGCCCGACUCAGCUGACAAAGCCGCUUUGCGAAAGAGAAAGAUUGUGCGUGAAGACGGGACCGUGCAGGAAGUACUGGUGACACCCCUGAGCGGGACUGAAGAGGAGGAGUUUCUGGAGGCAACAUCCUCGCAGACGAACUUGGCUGCCGAUGCCAUAAUCGUGCCUGUUCUGCAAGCGCUUGACACCGGCGACAAACUGCCGCUUCUCUCCAAGGAAGGGGAGACCACACUGGCGCGACGUGAACGCGAAGUUCAGGCACGCGGGGAGUUUCGACGCCGGGUCGAGAGCAAGCUUCAGCGCGAAGAGAGGCUGAGCAUGCUCAAGCGUGGACGCGCCGACGUCUCUGCUGCCGAUGCUUCAACGGCUGAAAAGAACCAACUGAUCGAGGUGCCUCCAGAGCUUCGCGGCGGCAAUCGUGAACUUGAAAGGCAGCCCUUGUUUGCCGUAGCCAACUACGCCGCAGAGCAGCUCCCGUUCCCUGACAACAGCUUCGACACUGUGGUGGACAUGUUCGGUCUGUGCAGCUUCGAUGACCCAGUGCGAGCUUUACGUGAGCUGUCGCGCGUGUGCAAACCGGGAGGAAAGCUGCUUCUCAUCGAACACGGAAAGGGCCACUCUACUCGUGUCAACAAUCACCUCGAUAAAUGGGCGCCGCGGCACGCGAAGAGCUGGGGGUGCUGGUGGAAUAGGGAUAUUCGGCGCGUGAUUCGCCUGAGCGGGCUCUCUGUGGAGAAGUGGGAAAGCAAGCACUUUGGGACGUCGCACUACAUUAUCGCAAAGCCGUACAAAUCUAUGGAGGAGUGGGACAGGUUCGAACUGCAGCGCAAGCAGCAGGCGAGGAAAUCUGCCGUUUAGCGGAGCAGCACUGCCUUUUCCGGAAAGGAGGCACAACGUCUCGGCGUGUGCUCGAAGUGGCACAGGUUAGAGCACCCCGGUUGUGUCUCUCAACGUGCCGUCGCUUUCGUACCCAAUGGUGUACUUAUGCGCCUUCUCGUGCUUGUUUUGUGGAAUGAUAGGGCACGCGUGUAUCGUGCACAGCAGCGCCCGCACGAGUUUCAGUGUCUGAGGUGUGGUACAUUAUGUGUUUGUUUUAGCUGCCUCGCUGUCGCGAGCUGCACUCACAUCUUCGUUUAAAGCAAGAGAUCUUCUGAGCGGGGCAUGCCUUGUAGCUCUCCCGCAGUGCUUUCCACGAACAGCCCAACUCUUUUUCCGUGUUUCUCUUGCUCUUGUCGCG
rnacentral:misc_RNA from 1 species